GGAAGGUUGAGGUGUGAGGAAUGUUUGAGCCCGGGAAGUCGAGCCUAUAGUGAGUUGUGAUCGUGCCACUGCACUCCAGCCCAGGAGACAGAAUGAGACUUUGCCAAAAAAAAAAAAAAAGUAUAUUCCGAGACAGUAGCAAGUGCUAUCAUUGUAAACAAAAAAUUAAAAAAAAGAAAAAAUUGUUUCUAAGAGAGAUGUAAAUAAAUAAAUAAGAAAGAAAAGAAAUAGAUGGGAGACAGGACCCUGGAUGAUCUAGAGCCAGAACUCCUGGCAAUGCCUUUUCUCUGCCUCAGUGAUAUAUUUUACACUACCAAUCACCUGAGGUCAGGAGUUCAAGACCAGCCUGGCCAACAUGAUAAAACCCCGUCUCUACUAAAAAUACAAAAAAUUAGCCAGGCGUGGUGGCAGACGACUGUAAUUCAGCUACUUUACUGAGACCUUUCUAUUGUUUUCAAAGUAUCAUAACUACUCUGGAAAACCAGUUAUGUUUUUUUCCUCUAGGGCAAAGGCAAGUAAUGCUUUUUCUUCGUGUGUGUGU
rnacentral:lncRNA from 1 species